rnacentral:rRNA from 2 species
AAGUUUUUUUUGUGGUGCGGGGGCUAUCAUGCAAGUCGAGCGAAUGGAUUGAGAGCUUGCUCUCAAGAAGUUAGCGGCGGACGGGUGAGUAACACGUGGGUAACCUGCCCAUAAAACUGGGAUAACUCCGGGAAACCGGGGCUAAUACCGGAUAACAUUUUGAACCGCAUGGUUCGAAAUUGAAAGGCGGCUUCGGCUGUCACUUAUGGAUGGACCCGCGUCGCAUUAGCUAGUUGGUGAGGUAACGGCUCACCAAGGCAACGAUGCGUAGCCAACCUGAGAGGGUGAUCGGCCACACUGGGACUGAAACACGGCCCAAACUCCUACGGGAGGCAGCAGUAGGGAAUCUUCCGCAAUGGACAAAAGUCUGACGGAGCAACGCCGCGUGAGUGAUGAAGGCUUUCGGGUCGUAAAACUCUGUUGUUAGGGAAAAACAAGUGCUAGUUGAAUAAGCUGGCACCUUGACGGUACCUAACCAAAAAGCCACGGCUAACUACGUGCCAGCAGCCGCGGUAAUACGUAGGUGGCAAGCGUUAUCCGGAAUUAUUGGGCGUAAAGCGCGCGCAGGUGGUUUCUUAAGUCUGAUGUGAAAGCCCACGGCUCAACCGUGGAGGGUCAUUGGAAACUGGAAGACUUGAGUGCAGAAGAGGAAAGUGGAAUUCCAUGUGUAGCGGUGAAAUGCGUAGAGAUAUGGAGGAACACCAGUGGCGAAGGCGACUUUUCUGGUCUGUAACUGACACUGAGGCGCGAAAGCGUGGGGAGCAAACAGGAUUAGAUACCCUGGUAGUCCACGCCGUAAACGAUGAGUGCUAAGUGUUAGAGGGUUUCCGCCCUUUUAGUGCUGAAGUUUAACGCAUUAAGCAACUCCGCCUGGGGAGUACGGCCGGCAAUGCUGAACUCGAAGAAUUGGACCGGGGGCCGCAACCAGCCGUUGCAAGCCAAGUGGGGUGGGU